rnacentral:rRNA from 1 species
GGUGGCGAGUGGCGGACGGGUGAGGAAUACAUCGGAAUCUACUUUUUCUGGGGGGAUAACGGAAGGAAACUUACGCUAAUACCGCAUACUACCUACUGGUGAAAGCAGGGGACCUUCGGGCCUUGCGCGAUUGAAUGAGCCGAUGUCGGAUUAGCUAGUUGGCGGGGUAAAGGCCCACCAUCGCCACGAUCCGUAUCUGGUCUGAAAGGAUGAUCAGCCUCACUGGAACUGAGACACGGACCAGACUCCUACUGGAGGCAGCAGUGGGGAAUAUUGGACAAUGGGCGCGAGCCUGAUCCAGCCAUACCGCGUGGGUGAAGAAGGCCUUCGGGUUGUAAAGCCCUUUUGUUGGGAAAGAAAUCCAACCGGUUAAUACCUGGUUGGGAUGACGGUACCCAAAGAAUAACCACCGGCUAACUUCUUGCCACCAGCCGCGGUAAUACGAAGGGUGCAAGCGUUACUCGGAAUUACUGGGCGUAGAGCGUGCGUAGGUGGUUGUUUAAUUCU